GAUGAACGCUGGCGGCGUGCCUAAUACAUGCAAGUCGAGCGAACAGACGAGGAGCUUGCUCCUCUGACGUUAGCGGCGGACGGGUGAGUAACACGUGGAUAACCUACCUAUAAGACUGGGAUAACUUCGGGAAACCGGAGCUAAUACCGGAUAAUAUAUUGAACCGCAUGGUUCAAUAGUGAAAGUCGGUUUUGCUGUCACUUAUAGAUGGAUCCGCGCCGCAUUAGCUAGUUGGUAAGGUAACGGCUUACCAAGGCAACGAUGCGUAGCCGACCUGAGAGGGUGAUCGGCCACACUGGAACUGAGACACGGUCCAGACUCCUACGGGAGGCAGCAGUAGGGAAUAUUCCGCAAUGGGCGAAAGCCUGACGGAGCAACGGCGCGUGAGUGAUGAAGGUCUUCGGAUCGUAAAACUCUGUUAUUAGGGAAGAACAAAUGUGUAAGUAAAUAUGCACGUAUUGACGGUACCUAAUCAGAAAGCCACGGCUAACUACGUG
rnacentral:rRNA from 1 species